CUCAAAGGAAUUGACGGGGACCCGCACAAGUAGCGGAGCAUGUGGUUUAAUUCGAAGCAACGCGAAGAACCUUACCUAAGCUUGACAUCCCAAUGACAUCUCCUUCAUCGGAGAGUUCCCUUCGGGGCCAUUGGUGACAGGUGGUGCAUGGUUGUCGUCAGCUCGUGUCGUGAGAUGUUGGGUUAAGUCCCGCAACGAGAGCAACCUUUU
rnacentral:rRNA from 1 species